rfam:Calocera viscosa TTFC12733 unplaced genomic scaffold CALVIscaffold_23, whole genome shotgun sequence.
GGUUGUGUCGUCCAGAGGUUAAGACGUGGGAUUUUGACUGUGAAAUUUCCCACAACCCGGGUUCGAAUCCCGGCACGACCU